GAUAUAUCAAGAACAUUUCUUCUCACAAACUCAAUUUCUUCUUACACUCAAUUCCUCUCUCUCUUCUUCUUUAAUUCUCACACAAAACCAAGAAACCAUGAAAUCCGACAGAGAGGAGGAGAAAGAGAAAGAGAACGAUCACUGCAUCAGUUCUCAUAUGCAGACCCUUCAUCGCCGUCUUCUCCACGCCUUAAACCUUGGCACCAGAUCUCAACUUGCACCCCCAUCCCACCCAGUCACUUCCCUCCAGGUCCUUAUUCCGUGAAAUUUUCUUUAAAUUUUCUAUCUUUUUUACUUCCGACAUAGUGGGCACCCUUCUACCCAUCAUUUAAUUUUCUAUCUCGUUGGUUCAAAGUGAUUGAACUGUGUUUUUCGUUUCAUGGGUUUUUCUUUUGGUUCUGGGUCUGAGACCACGGUGUCCCCUAACCCAUUGGUCAGAGAAUUAUCUGCUCGGGGUGUGUGGUGUGUGGCUGCUGCUGUCACAAAAGAAUUUUGCACAUGACAUUUUGAUGAGAAGACAAAUAGAUGGAAAAAUGUGCUAUGAUCAAUUGGUGCGCUCUUGAUUCAUUAUCAGGAGAUGCACAUGCAGCACGUCAUGCUAUUGUUAAGGAACCUGUUGCCGAUAUUUUGGGAGCGCAUUAUUAUGGGUUCUUCAAUGCAAAAGUGAGGCUUUGUUAAGCAUGGCAUCAGAUGUGGCAGUAAAGUGAGAAGGCAGUUAUGGAAGCUUUGAAAGAAACAGAGACUUCCAUGCGUAUUGUUGGAAAUAGAAAAGAUUUUGCUGAAGGUGCAAAAAAAAUUGAAUAUUUUGAAGAGACGACUUUGCUUUUGAGCACAAUACUGUGGCGCUGGCCUCCUUCUAGGUUCCCUGUUGGAAAUUAUGUUAUACUUAUGAAAGUCUUAGCAAACAUCCAUACAAGGACAGAUAGUUCUAUUAAACUUACACUUUUAAAGCUCUUUAUGUGAUUCUGUAGCUAGAAAACGUAUAGAGGAUGGAGAAGUAUUUCCACAAAUGUUUGUGCAGGCGAUGGGAAAAUCAGACCCCCAUUCUGUUCGAAUAGAGGGGUUUAGGCUUGCUCAAUGUCUAUUGAGAUCCCAAGAGAAUUGUUUAAAAGUGGUUGGUUUGUGUGGUGAAGCUCUUGUUGAUGCAAUAAUUUGUGGGAUGAAAGAAACUGGGCUGAGUUCUAAAUAAAUUGGGAACAACCAUGGGUCUUUGUCAGGGGAAGCAUGCCAGUCAGCUCUAAUUACUCGCUGGGCGGGUGAUCAUCAUAUCAAGUUUUGGAAACAAGGAAUUGAUAGAAUUCUCCUUAAUCCUCCUGAUUGAAAAUAUUCAAGACCAAUUGUCUAAACCUGUCUUGUCAUUGAAAAAACAAAUAUCCAUGGUAAAAGAGGGAUUAAAAGCCAAUUAUCAUCUUGGUCUUGGGAGUUAUCUAUGAGACAUUCUUGGGUGGCUUACUAUUCACUGUGGAGAAAAUUUAAACCCUCAUACUCAUGGAACUUGAGUUUUGUGGAUACACUUGAAAAAUGGUGCCGAAUAUGUCAAAAGGAUAUUGCUGAUCCUUUUCAAGGCGAACCAGUAUCAAGGGCUGUUCUCGUGAUGAUUCAUUCUCCACGUAAUUCUAUCUCCUCGCAGGCUAGAUUCUUAUUAUUAGAUGUACUGAAUGCAAAAGGCUUGUCAUGCUUGAAAAGUUUAAUUUAAUACAUACUCUGGAUUAUACAUCAUCCGUAGAAAGUUAUGGAUCAUUUGAUAAACUUCAACUGGUUAUUAACUUAAUUGGGUUGACUUGUCUUUCAAGUUUACCAGAGUAUCAAAGAUGUAUCAUAGAAAGCAAAGGGAUAAAGGCAAUUGCUCUUCUUGUGAAACGAUGCUUGAUUCAAAUUCAUACUAUAAAAUCUGGAUGCUAUUAUCGCUUUGAGAAUUA